rnacentral:rRNA from 1 species
GACGAACGCUGGCGGCGUGCUUAACACAUGCAAGUCGAACGGAAAGGCCCUGCUUUUGUGGGGUGCUCGAGUGGCGAACGGGUGAGUAACACGUGAGUAACCUGCCCUUGACUUUGGGAUAACUUCAGGAAACUGGGGCUAAUACCGGAUAGGAGCUCCUGCUGCAUGGUGGGGGUUGGAAAGUUUCGGCGGUUGGGGAUGGACUCGCGGCUUAUCAGCUUGUUGGUGGGGUGGUGGCUUACCAAGGGUUUGACGGGUGGCCGGACUGAGAGGGUGACCGGCCAAAUUGGGACUGAGAUACGGCCCAGACUUCUACGGGAGGCAGCAGUGGGGAAUAUUGCACAAUGGGCGGAAGCCUGAUGCAGGAACGCCGCCUGCGGGAUGACGGCCUUCGGGUUGUAAACCGCUUUCGCCUGUGACGAAGCGUGAGUGACGGUAAUGGGUAAAGAAGCACCGGCUAACUACGUG